rnacentral:lncRNA from 1 species
ACACACUUACACACUAAUACUUUGAUUUUUCAUCCAAAUUCACACAUGCACCUUUUUAUACAUUCGCACACUUGCACUUACAUUUCUUGCAUCUUUCAUACACUUUCACACUUGCACACUUGAAUUUGAACUCUCAUUUGCAUUAAUCGACCUCUAUGAGGUUUUCCUUUGUUGGCCGCCACAAUCCAUGUGGUUUGGGACCAAAAGCCUCACAAGAGACAUCGUAGAAUUUAGGAUUGCGUUUUCCUUUCCGUUUUGCAUUCAUAUAGUCAUAUCCAACGCGCAAUCCAUACAUUGGGUAGAAAAU